ACUCAAAUGAAUUGACGGGGGCCCGCACAAGCGGUGGAGCAUGUGGUUUAAUUCGAUGCAACGCGAAGAACCUUACCUGGUCUUGACAUCCACGGAAUUUGGCAGAGAUGCCUUAGUGCCUUCGGGAACCGUGAGACAGGUGCUGCAUGGCUGUCGUCAGCUCGUGUUGUGAAAUGUUGGGUUAAGUCCCGCAACGAGCGCAACCCUUAUCCUUUGUUGCCAGCGGUCCGGCCGGGAACUCAAAGGAGACUGCCAGUGAUAAACUGGAGGAAGGUGGGGAUGACGUCAAGUCAUCAUGGCCCUUACGACCAGGGCUACACACGUGCUACAAUGGCAUAUACAAAGAGAAGCGACCUCGCGAGAGCAAGCGGACCUCAUAAAGUAUGUCGUAGUCCGGAUUGGAGUCUGCAACUCGACUCCAUGAAGUCGGAAUCGCUAGUAAUCGUGGAUCAGAAUGCCACGGUGAAUACGUUCCCGGGCCUUGUACACACCGCCCGUCACACCAUGGGAGUGGGUUGCAAAAGAAGUAGGUAGCUUAACCUUCGGGAGGGCGCUACCACUUUGGAUCUUGG
rnacentral:rRNA from 1 species